rnacentral:rRNA from 1 species
GCCUAACACAUGCAAGUCGGACGGUAGCACAGAGGAGCUUGCUCCUUGGGUGACGAGUGGCGGACGGGUGAGUAAUGUCUGGGGAUCUGCCCGAUAGAGGGGGAUAACCACUGGAAACGGUGGCUAAUACCGCAUAACGUCGCAAGACCAAAGAGGGGGACCUUCGGGCCUCUCACUAUCGGAUGAACCCAGAUGGGAUUAGCUAGUAGGCGGGGUAAUGGCCCACCUAGGCGACGAUCCCUAGCUGGUCUGAGAGGAUGACCAGCCACACUGGAACUGAGACACGGUCCAGACUCCUACGGGAGGCAGCAGUGGGGAAUAUUGCACAAUGGGCGCAAGCCUGAUGCAGCCAUGCCGCGUGUAUGAAGAAGGCCUUCGGGUUGUAAAGUACUUUCAGCGGGGAGGAAGGCGACGGGGUUAAUAACCGCGUCGAUUGACGUUACCCGCAGAAGAAGCACCGGCUAACUCCGUGCCAGCAGCCGCGGUAAUACGGAGGGUGCAAGCGUUAAUCGGAAUUACUGGGCGUAAAGCGCACGCAGGCGGUCUGUUAAGUCAGAUGUGAAAUCCCCGGGCUUAACCUGGGAACUGCAUUUGAAACUGGCAGGCUUGAGUCUUGUAGAGGGGGGUAGAAUUCCAGGUGUAGCGGUGAAAUGCGUAGAGAUCUGGA